AUGGCCUAUAAGUCUCAGGAGUUGGUACACAAGUGUGGGAUAUAUGGGAAAUAUUUCAGUACCACCUCAAGCUACAGUGUACAGCAGAGGUUUGAUACUGGAAACAAACCCUACAAGUGCAACAUUUGUCACGGAUCCUUUACCCUUUGCUCAAAUCCUAAAACACAUCUAAGACUUUAUACUGGGGAGAAGCCUUACAAAUGCAGAGCAUGUGAAAUGUCAUUCUCUCAGUUGUCUGCGCCUUAAAACCAUCAGAACAUGCAUAGUGGAGAAAAGUGAUGCCAAUGUAAAGAAUGUGACAAAUCUUUUGCCUAUCGUUCUAGUUUGAGAAAGCAUCAGAAUGUCAUACUUCUGAGGAACACUACAGUUGUUAAGAAUGUGGCAAUGUCUUUCACCAGCUUUCACAUUUGAAAAACCAUUACAGACUCCACAGUGGAGAGAAGUCUAACAAAUGCAAUGACUGUGGCAGAUCCUUCCCCACUGUUUAUUCUUUAGAAAGCAUCAAUAAAAUCUUUCUCUAGAGAAAUUACACAAAUGCAAAGAAUAUGAUAAGCCCUUUAUUGUGUUACCACAUAUUAAAGGCAUUACAGAAUUGAUUCUGAUGACAAGCCUUAUAAAUGUAGGGAAUAUGACAAAUGCUUUACCCAGGACUCACAUCUUAGAAGACAUCAGAGAGUUCAUACAGGAAAGAGACCUUACAAAUGCAAUGACUGUGACCUAUCCUUUAAUCAGAUUUCAAAUCUUAAAAGACAUCAGAAACUUCAUACUGGAGAGAAACUUUACAAAUGUAUGGAUUGUGACAAGUCCUUUACCCAUACCUCACAUCUUAGAACACACCAGAGAGUUCAUAUUGGAGACAGACUUUUCAGCUGUAAGGAAUGUGACAAAUCUUCUACUAAUGGCUCAAUUCUUAAAUAA